rnacentral:rRNA from 1 species
CCUACGGGGGCAGCAGUGGGGAAUAUUGGACAAUGGGGGCAACCCUGAUCCAGCCAUGCCGCGUGUGUGAAGAAGGCCCUCGGGUUGUAAAGCACUUUCAGUGAGGAAGAACGCCUGGUGGUUAAUACCCAUCAGGAAAGACAUCACUCACAGAAGAAGCACCGGCUAACUCCGUGCCAGCAGCCGCGGUAAUACGGAGGGUGCGAGCGUUCAUCGGAAUUACUGGGCGUAAAGCGCGCGUAGGUGGCUUGAUAAGCCGGUUGUGAAAGCCCCGGGCUCAACCUGGGAACGGCAUCCGGAACUGUCAAGCUAGAGUGCAGGAGAGGAAGGUAGAAUUCCCGGUGUAGCGGUGAAAUGCGUAGAGAUCGGGAGGAAUACCAGUGGCGAAGGCGGCCUUCUGGACUGACACUGACACUGAGGUGCGAAAGCGUGGGUAGCAAACAGGAUUAGAUACCCUAGUAGUC